UUUCUAUUUUCAUAUCUUGUUCAAUACUCAUUUUCGGUAUUAGAAUCAGUGCUCAAGAGGAUAAGGCCUCUCCAAGAGAUCAAGAUCAUGCUUCACAUCAGCAUUAAUUUUUUGGGGGAAAAUCCAACGGUGUCUCUAUAGCCAAGAAUAUCUUCUACAGUCUCCACUUCCCCUAAUCUUCCAAAAAUGUUAUGAUGCUUCGAAAGCUAAGAAUAAAUUUUUCACGGCGUUCACUUCCAUUAUGGGAUUCUCAGGGGUAUCUACUUGAUGAGGAUCUUCACGAUAACUUUUCCUGAUGCAGUGCAGCAUUGAUGAUAACGUUCUUCACAUCUAUCGCGUGAGUC